AUAAGGAUAUUAAGCUCUUGGAAGCAAUAAUUCAAACUCUUGGUGGAAAAGAAUAACGUCUGCAAAUAUGUGGAGGAAUUUGCUUUUGAUAAUUAGGGUGUUAGUAUUCUUUUUUGCCUUGUUGUGUGGGUGAAGUAAUAGUGUAAAAUAUUUAUGGAUAGUCUGGUUGAGUCUGAUUAGGAACAUGGUGUGUAAUAUAUUAUUUUGAACUUGGUUUUUAAAAUAUAGUUAAAUCAA
rnacentral:misc_RNA from 1 species